rnacentral:rRNA from 1 species
AUUGAACGCUGGCGGCAGGCCUAACACAUGCAAGUCGAACGAGCGGCGGACGGGUGAGUAAUGUAUGGGAAACUGCCUGAUGGAGGGGGAUAACUACUGGAAACGGUAGCUAAUACCGCAUACCAUCAGAUGUGCCCCGAUGGGAUUAGCUUGUUGGUGGGGUAACGGCUCACCAGGGCGACGAUCCCUAGCUGGUCUGAGAGGAUGAUCAGCCACAAUGGAACUGAGACACGGCCCAGACUCCUACGGGAGGCAGCAGUGGGGAAUAUUGCACAAUGGGCGCAAGCCUGAUGCAGCCAUGCCGCGUGUAUGAAGAAGGCCUUCGGGUUGUAAAGUACUUUCAGUGGGGAGGCGUUACCGGCAGAAGAAGCACCGGCUAACUCCGUGCCAGCAGCCGCGGUAAUAC